UACGUAGGGUGCGAGCGUUAAUCGGAAUUACUGGGCGUAAAGUGUGCGCAGGCGGCCGCGCAAGUCGAGUGUGAAAUCCCCGAGCUUAACUUGGGAAUUGCGCUCGAAACUACGUGGCUGGAGUGUGGCAGAGGAAGGUGGAAUUCCACGUGUAGCGGUGAAAUGCGUAGAUAUGUGGAGGAACACCGAUGGCGAAGGCAGCCUUCUGGGCCAACACAUGACGCUCGAUGACACGAAAGCGUGGGGAGCAAACAGG
rnacentral:rRNA from 1 species